GGAAGUCAUGCUGCCAGGAAAGACCUCCCUCAACACUUUCCCCAAGAGAUUUAACCCUGCCGUUUAUCCUGGAUUCUCUCACAGCCUGACCCCUCUCUUGAUGCAACUGGAACCUUCACCAGCCUCCUUCAGUCCCCUCGUCAUCAUGAGCAGCGAAGACAAAAACAAAGAGGAGCGGAUCCCAGAGCCCGUCUCUGAACAGCCACGGUCAUCAUCACUGUGUCCACCGUGUGACUGCUCAUCUGAUGGUGCAGAUCAGGUGUGCGCACAUUUCUGUUCAGAGAUCUGCGCACAUUGUUGUUCUGCUUUAUGUGGUGUUCUCUGCGGUGUUUUAUGUGGUCUGUGUGACCAGAACUAACUCACGCACCAAAGCUCCAAUGUGGAGAUUGAAGGGAAGCUGGAGCUUCAGGACACUCAACUGGCCACUGGGAUGGAGCUUGGUGUAUCUGUGAGCGACGGGGUCUCGGGAAUGCUUCCUACUGGCCGCAGGAUGACCGUUUCACAUGAUAAAUUCAUCCCAUCGUACUGACAGCUAAAGAUAAUCAGUAUUAGGAAGUGUGUAUAUUAUGUGUAUGUAUUUAUUUCAAAAACAAUAGUAAAACUAAUAGCCAUUAACACACUAACAUAAGCCAUUCGUAUGUGCUUUAAGGAGUGGUUUUAUUCUAUAGUAGCACCACCACAACAUCUACACAAUACAAAAUAAAUGUAUUUAUUUCAUCAAUAGGGACUCAGUUAAAUGCCUGGGUGAAUAAGUGUGUCCAGUCUGGAGAGAGAUGAACUUUUCUUUUGGUUAUUUGUUUCUAUAUAAAUUCACAACAAACUCACA